GAUGAACGCUGGCGGCGUGCCUAAUACAUGCAAGUCGAGCGAACGGACGAGAAGCUUGCUUCUCUGAUGUUAGCGGCGGACGGGUGAGUAACACGUGGAUAACCUACCUAUAAGACUGGUAUAACUUCGGGAAACCGGAGCUAAUACCGGAUAAUAUUUUGAACCGCAUGAUUCAAAAGUGAAAGACGGUCUUGCUGUCACUUAUAGAUGGAUCCGCGCUGCAUUAGCUAGUUGGUAAGGUAACGGCUUACCAAGGCAACGAUGCAUAGCCGACCUGAGAGGGUGAUCGGCCACACUGGAACUUAGACACGGUCCAGACUCCUAAGGGAGGGAGCAGUAGGGAAUCUUCCGCAAUGGGCGAAAGCCUGACGGAGCAACGCCGAGUGAGUGAUGAAGGUCUUCGGAUCGUAAAACUCUGUUAUUAGGGAAGAACAUAUGUGUAAGUAAAUGUGCACAUCUUGACGGUAACUAAUCAGAAAGCAACGGCUAACUACGUG
rnacentral:rRNA from 1 species